AGGGCGAAGAGCCUACAGUUCCAUCUCCUUCUCCGGCGCCGCCGGCAACGGCGGAAACUCAAUCGCAAUCUCAAGAAGGAAGGGGGGAGGAGGAUGAAGAGGAGGCUAAGAAUGAAGACGACGAGUUGAUUGCCAGGGCUCAUAAGUUGAUGGAGAAGAUCACUGCCUCGCCUGAUAACCCUAACCCUACCGUUCUUCACGCCCUUGCGUCACUUCUCGAAACUCAAGAAUCCAGAUACAUGGCUGAGAAUGGUCAUUCUUCUAGUAACGG
rnacentral:misc_RNA from 1 species